GAUAAGUAAUGUGAAUUGCAGAAUUCAGUGAAUCAUCGAAUCUUUGAACGCACCUUGCGCUCCUUGGUAUUCCGAGGAGCAUGCCUGUUUGAGUGUCAUUAAAUUCUCAACCUUACCAGCUUUUGCGAGUUCGGUAAUGGCUUGGAUGUGGGGGUUUUGUGCCGGCUUCCUAGUGAAGUCAGCUCCCCUUAAAUGUAUUAGCCGGUGCCCUUUGUGGACUGUCUAUUGGUGUGAUAAUUAUCUACGCCGUGGACUUCUGCUUUGAAUGGGUGCACUGCUUCUAACCGUCUGUUCAUUCGGACAAUACUUGACAAUUUGACCUCAAAUCAGGUAGGACUACCCGCUGAACUUAAGCAUAUCAAUAAGCGGAGGAAAAGAAACUAACAAGGAUUCCCCUAGUAACUGCGAGUGAAGCGGGAAAAGCUCAAAUUUAAAAUCUGGCGGUCUUUGGCCGUCCGAGUUGUAAUCUAGAGAAGUGUUAUCCGCGCUGGACCGUGUACAAGUCUCCUGGAAUGGAGCGUCAUAGAGGGUGAGAAUCCCGUCUUUGACACGGACUGCCAGGGCUUUGUGAUGCGCUCUCAAAGAGUCGAGUUGUUUGGGAAUGCAGCUCAAAAUGGGUGGUAAAUUCCAUCUAAAGCUAAAUAUUGGCGAGAGACCGAUAGCGAACAAGUACCGUGAGGGAAAGAUGAAAAGAACUUUGGAAAGAGAGUUAAACAGUACGUGAAAUUGCUGAAAGGGAAACGCUUGAAGUCAGUCGCGUUGGCCGGGGAUCAACCUUGCUUUUGCUGGGCGUACUUUCCGGUCGACGGGUCAGCAUCAAUUUUGAUCGUUGGAUAAAGGUUGGGGGAAUGUGGCAUCUUCGGAUGUGUUAUAGCCCUUCGUCGCAUACAACGGUUGGGAUUGAGGAACUCAGCACGCCGCAAGGCCGGGUACUUGUACCACGUUCGUGCUUAGGAUGCUGGCAUAAUGGCUUUAAUCGACCCGUCUUGAAACACGGACCAAGGAGUCUAACAUGCCUGCGAGUGUUUGGGUGGAAAACCCGAGCGCGUAAUGAAAGUGAAAGUUGAGAUCCCUGUCGUGGGGAGCAUCGACGCCCGGACCAGACCUUUUGUGACGGAUCCGCGGUAGAGCAUGUAUGUUGGGACCCGAAAGAUGGUGAACUAUGCCUGAAUAGGGUGAAGCCAGAGGAAACUCUGGUGGAGGCUCGUAGCGAUUCUGACGUGCAAAUCGAUCGUCAAAUUUGGGUAUAGGGGCGAAAGACUAAUCGAACCAUCUAGUAG
rnacentral:rRNA from 1 species